UUGUAUAUAAUAUGUGUUUCUCAUAUUCUUAAAUAAGGUUUAGGGUCUUGAAUAACUCAUGUAUCAGAUUCAAUAUUUUUUUUGGAAGUGGUUAUCGGCUAAAUCUUCGAGGUACUGCCUCUAAUUACUAUGAGUUAGUAUCACACCACUACUUAUGUUGGUUUCGAUAGCUGGUCUUUGUGUUGUAUGUGGUUAUUUCUCAAUGAGUUUUGAUAUUCUUUGGGAUCUUUUGUUGGAUCCUUUUUUCCCUCGGCUUACUUAGGCAUUUCUUUGCUAAUUUAUCCAUGGCAAUGGGCAGUUUUAUUUAUAUCUUUCAUUGGGCGAUUUAGAUUUCUUGUUUUGCUUUAUGCUACUGUUUCCUUUUCUUGGUAUCUUUGUACUGAUGGGAAAUUUGGAAUACAUCAUGUGCUCCUUGUCAGCUUGUCUACUACAUAUUAAUCUUUCCUUUUUUUUUUAAAUUAUGGUAAGGGAUUUUUUCGACG
rnacentral:lncRNA from 1 species